UUUUUCAAUGUCAACAAAAAUUUUUCAUCCAUGACAAAAAUCUAAAAUAAUUUUCUAAGAAAUCAAAAAAUAAUUAUUUUGUAAUCUUACUUACAAAAAUAGAUUGAUCUCUUUGGAGUCUAUAUUGUCUAGGUACUCUUCUUUUGUAUAAAUUUUAUAAUGGCAAUAUGUAGAAACCAGUAAAAUAAUUGAGAGUAUUGAGAAUUUCCAGAGGAGAAAAUUCAAAAUAAAUUUAAGGGAUUAUGGAAGAGAAUAAAUGACACUAUAAGAUUCAAAUAUGUGUUAAUACUCAUGGCUUCUCCUAAAUUCACAUCACAUGAAAUUAUAGAAUUCAGUUGUCGGAUUCAAAAUUGUCUAAACAAUCCUAAUUGUCGUUCCAUAUUGAAAAUGUACUUAGAUCAAGGCAAUUCCUCAGUGCUGCUCGCUGCACUGGAAUUGUGGGAAGUAGCGAAUAGAAGCACUAGUUGGAACGAAGAACUAAUGUUAGAUCUCAUGGACGAAUUGGACGAUUUCAAUCAAAACCCUUUGUUGAGCAUUUCCGAAUUCCAACACAAAAUCGACUAUACCAAAGCUGAAUGCGUUAAGAUACUCGAAAAAGGCAGCCAAGGAAAGUUUCUGUCAAUUUUUAUAGAAUUCUUAAAGAAAUAUUAUUUAAAAUUAUGAUAGUAUAAGAUAGAAUGUUGCUGUUGCUUAUGUUGUAAAUUUAUUUUUAGAGUAAUAUAUUUUUUUGCAAGA